AUUGAACGCUGGCGGCAGGCUUAACACAUGCAAGUCGAGCGGAGUGAUGGUGCUUGCACUAUCACUUAGCGGCGGACGGGUGAGUAAUGCUUAGGAAUCUGCCUAUUAGUGGGGGACAACAUCUCGAAAGGGAUGCUAAUACCGCAUACGUCCUACGGGAGAAAGCAGGGGAUCACUUGUGACCUUGCGCUAAUAGAUGAGCCUAAGUCGGAUUAGCUAGUUGGUGGGGUAAAGGCCUACCAAGGCGACGAUCUGUAGCGGGUCUGAGAGGAUGAUCCGCCACGCUGGGACUGAGACACGGCCCAGACUCCUACGGGAGGCAGCAGAGGGGAAUAUUGGACAAUGGGGGGAACCCUGAUCCAGCCAUGCCGCGUGUGUGAAGAAGGCCUUAUGGUUGUAAAGCACUUUAAGCGAGGAGGAGGCUCUUUUGGUUAAUACCUAGAAUGAGUGGACGUUACUCGCAGAAUAAGCACCGGCUAACUCUGUGCCAGCAGCCGCGGUAACAC
rnacentral:rRNA from 1 species